CUACCGGGAUGUCCAGUUGACAACCGUAUUUGCAAGAGAUAUCAACAGCUCUGUAACUCUGAAAAGGACUGUAAGAAUGGUUACAUUUGCUGUUUUAAUCCUUCCUGUGGCACUUCAUGCAAAGCAGAAAUAAAGAAGAUCGUGUCUUUAUCAGCUUGUACCACGGGAACUCCAUUGCUGGGAAUAAAUUGCGGUAGAUCACCAAACAGAAAAAAAUGUCCAAAAGGAUACAGGUGUAAAACUAAUCGAUUAGA